UACGUAGGGUGCGAGCGUUGUCCGGAAUUAUUGGGCGUAAAGGGCUCGUAGGCGGUUUGUCGCGUCGGGAGUGAAAACUCAGGGCUCAACCCUGAGCGUGCUUCCGAUACGGGCAGACUAGAGGGAUGCAGGGGAGAACGGAAUUCCUGGUGUAGCGGUGGAAUGCGCAGAUAUCAGGAGGAACACCAGUGGCGAAGGCGGCUCACUGGCCCGGUACUGACGCUGAGGCACGAAAGCGUGGGGAGCAAACAGG
rnacentral:rRNA from 1 species